CUGUUGUUAGGGCUGCUGUGACGUUCCAAACCUCUUUGAGGGCUCUCGCCUUCAAUGUGACUGCCCCUCGUAGAGCUGGCAUGAAACAGGAAGCAGCUGCAUUGAGGGUGACAAUGUCGUCGUGGGACCUAACAUUCACAGCAGAACUUACAACUGACGUCAAAUGAUCCCUCUCAGCUCCCAUAUUCUCUGCAGCCUCUACGCACUGAGCUGCAACCAGUGCCCCUGCCGAAGCCAUUGCCAUAUCAAUUUUUGCCAUCUGCUCGUGUUUGCCAGAGGAGGAAGCAGCAGUUGCUGCUGCUAUGGCCGCUACAGCGGAGGCAACUGCGGCAACUGAGACAGCGGCAUGGAUCUGCGCAUUGUGAGCUCUGUUCUCUUCCUUCUUCUUUUCUUUACGGUCCUUGAGCCAUCUGCCUACUGUUUUUGGUCCACCGCCACCGCCUACUGGCGUGGCAUUGCCAUUACUGGUGGCGCCACGGCUGGCGCUUGUACCAGAGAACAGGGGCUGUAUGGUGUUGUGGGUGCGAAAGUACUACAAGCAUGACAAUGAAUGAGUGAUGUUAUCGGUCUGUAGUUUAUUUUGGUCAAGCACAAUACACGAAUGGGAAAAGGAUUAAAAGAUUUGUAUAGAACAUGGAACACUUGACAACCGUUAGGUAAUUAGUAUGGAACAAGUAUUUUUUCUAAGAUCGUUUUAUAUACGUGUAUAUGUGUAAUGGUGGAGAUCCACAGGUACGAGAUUGGAUUAAGAUUCUUGUAUAUA